rnacentral:sRNA from 1 species
CCCUAGCCCAGAUAGGAACGGCAUCCUUUUUUGUUAUUGCGGGGUAAAUGGUUCAAAAGAUUGCUUCACUUCGUUCGCAAUGAUGAAAAAGAUAUAGUGGAUAGCGGGAUUAAGC